rnacentral:rRNA from 1 species
GACGAACGCUGGCGGCGUGCCUAAUACAUGCAAGUAGAACGCACAGUUUAUACCGUAGCUUGCUACACCAUAGACUGUGAGUUGCGAACGGGUGAGUAACGCGUAGGUAACCUGCCUGGUAGCGGGGGAUAACUAUUGGACACGAUAGCUAAUACCGCAUAAUAUUGAUUAUUGCAUGAUAAUUGAUUGAAAGAUGCUAUUGCAUCACUACCAGAUGGACCUGCGUUGUAUUAGCUAGUAGGUGAGGUAACGGCUCACCUAGGCGACGAUACAUAGCCGACCUGAGAGGGUGAUCGGCCACACUGGGACUGAGACACGGCCCAGACUCCUACGGGAGGCAGCAGUAGGGAAUCUUCGGCAAUGGACGAAAGUCUGACCGAGCAACGCCGCGUGAGUGAAGAAGGUUUUCGGAUCGUAAAGCUCUGUUGUAAGAGAAGAACGGGUGUGAGAGUGGAAAGUUCACACUGUGACGGUAUCUUACCAGAAAGGGACGGCUAACUACGUG